rnacentral:rRNA from 1 species
GUGUACGGCCAUGCUACCCUGAACAAGCCCGAUUCCAUCUGAUCUCAGAAAGGCAGGGUCGGGCCUGGUUAGUACUUGGAUGGGAGACCACCUAGGAAGACCAGGUACUGUAGGUG